GGAUGUGAGGGCAAUCUGGCUGCAACAUCUGCCACCCCAUUGAUCACCAGAGUUGAUUUGGCUGAUCUGGCUGGCUAGGUGGGUGUACCCUUCCUCCCUCAUCACUCCAUGUGCAUCCCUCCCAAAGCUGCAUUCUUGGUCCAAGAAUAUGGCCUUCCCCGAAUAGAGAUAGACCAAUCUUCAGUCAAGGGUAUAUGAGUAGCUGUGCUCCCCUGCUAGAACUUCCAAAGAAAUUCUUAAAUGUUUUGUAGAAUUCAUUUGUAAAACCACCUGAGCCUGUAUUUUUGUUGUUGGGGUGGUUUUUGAU
rfam:Erinaceus europaeus unplaced genomic scaffold scaffold00527, whole genome shotgun sequence